CUUUUCAAUACAGCAUUUUCCUUUUCAUGUGCCUAUCCAAAAAAGGAGAAUACUGCUGGAUUGUUUGGUUUUGGUGCUGCCAAAAGGAAAUGCAUAGAAGGGCAUGAAAAGUUUUGCUGCUCUGUCUACCUGGCUUUCCAGUGGCCUAUUUUUAAAUUACAUGCCUGGUUGCUCUGAUCCGAAGGAACCACUCUGCUCUGCUUGGAGGCAGUGCUUUCAGGAGGACAACAGGAGUUAUGUGGGCCCUUCUUUCCUGCCUGAAUCCUGUGGAGGAAGAAGCAUUCACGUUCACAUGCUAUUCCUUGUUUCAAGAUUAUUUAAGGAACCACCGCUGUUGAACUAG
rnacentral:lncRNA from 1 species